GGGGUAACAUUGGUGCUUGCACCAGAUGACGACCGGCGCACGGGUGAGUAACGCGUAUGCAACCUGCCUGUAACUGGAGGAUAGCCCUUGGAAACGAGGAUUAAUACUGCGUAACAUUAUUGAAUCGCAUGGUUUAAUAAUCAAAUCUACGGAGGUUACAGAUGGGCAUGCGUGCCAUUAGUUAGAUGGUGAGGUAACGGCUCACCAUGACAUCGAUGGCUAGGGGUUCUGCAAGGAAGAUCCCCCACACUGGUACUGAGACACGGACCAGACUCCUACGGGAGGCAGCAGUGAGGAAUAUUGGUCAAUGGAGGCAACUCUGAACCAGCCAAGCCGCGUGAAGGAAGACUGUUCUAUGAAUUGUAAACUUCUUUUGUGGUAGAGUAAAUAUAGCUACGUGUAGUUAUUUGCAAGUAUACCAUGAAUAAGCAUCGGCUAACUCCGUGCCAGCAGCCGCGGUAAUACGGAGGAUGCAGGCGUUAUCCGGAUUUAUUAGGUUUAAAGGGUGUCUAGGCUGCCACAUAAGUCAGGGGUGAAAGUCGGUUGCUCAACAAUCGAAUUGCCUUUGAAACUGUGUGGCUCGAAUAUAGAUGAGGUAGGCGGAAUGUGUAGUGUAGCGGUGAAAUGCAUAGAUAUUACACAGAACACCAAUUGCGAAGGCAGCUUACCAAACUAUUAUUGACGCUGAGGCACGAAAGCGUGGGUAGCGAACAGGAUUAGAUACCCUGGUAGUCCACGCCGUAAACUAUGCUCACUCGCUGUUGGCAAUACAUGGUCAGCGGCUAAGGGAAACCGAUAAGUGAGCCACCUGGGGAGUACGAUCGCCAGAUUGAAACUCAAAGGAAUUGACGGGGGCCCGCACAAGCGGAGGAACAUGUGGUUUAAUUCGAUGAUACGCGAGGAACCUUACCUGG
rnacentral:rRNA from 1 species